UACAGAGGUCUCAAGCGUUGUUCGGAUUCAUUGGGCGUAAAGGGUGCGUAGGCGGCCCAGUAAGUCAGUGGUGAAAGCUCUCCGCUUAACGGAGAAACUGCCAUUGAUACUGCCGGGCUGAGUACAGAUGAUGUUGGCGGAAUAUGACAUGUAGCGGUGAAAUGCAUAGAUAUGUCAUAGAACACCGAUUGCGAAGGCAGCUGACAAAACUGUAACUGACGCUGAGGCACGAAAGUGCGGGGAUCAAACAGG
rnacentral:rRNA from 1 species